AGAAACUUAGGUUAAUAUAUUAAACCAAGAGCCUUCAAAGCCCUAAAUAUGAGCU
rnacentral:tRNA from 1 species